GUUAUUUAUGCUCCUCUAGAAAUUACUUCUGCAAGGAGGAAUGUGCGAGCGGAUACCUAGGACAGCUAGUGGGCUCUUUGCUCUCUAGCGGAGUAACCCUGGCUUUACUGUCUGGGCACCAGGGCAGAAUUAACACAGAGCAGCAGGGAGCGGGUCUGCGCCGGGCUGGUCCCUGCCGCUGCUCCCGGCGGCGCUGCCCAGGACCGGCUCCCCACGGCAGCUGCAGGGAUUCCCCGGCGCUGCCGAACCCCGAGCACCGCCCCAAGGUGCCCCCCUGCUCCGGAGCCCACCCCGGCACCCACCGCCCCCGCUGUGCCUCCCUCCAGCGGGGAAAUCCCGGCUGGAUCGGGAGAAGCCUCCCCGCUCCGGAGUGCCGGAGAGCCGGAGGAUGCUGCGAGCUCCGCCAGCGCCGCGGCCACGCCGCUUCUAAACCACAGAAAUAAUUUCCUAAAAACCCCAACAACUCAAGAGCCGAGUCAGGAGGCUGGGAGGCUCCCACUGCGCCGUCUGCAGCAGCGGGGAGCGGGGAUUUGCAGUCCUGUCUGCACCAUUUCUCUGGAGCACAUAAGAAAUAAGAUAUGGUGCGCCCUACAGCCACACCCACACCAGCCUUGGUCACAAGGUGCAAGGAGGAGAUAUGCAGGUGAGCUCUGCAGUGGCUGGGAAAGGCUCCUUUCUGUAAAGCAAAGCAGAAGAGGAGUGUGUUUGCCCCAGAGAUGCCUCAGGGGAGCAUGAUACAGUGAUAUGGGUGUAGCGUGGAGAAGUGCAGAGCAUGGAGAGAUCCGGGUCUCUGCCAGCACCUGGCUGAGCCAAGAACACAGAGCAAAACCAAAUCCACCUAAAACAGAAACCUCUCAAGGCAUGAAAACCGCUUGAGAUACUCAUUUUUUCUUCACAAUACCCAUGGAUGAGCGUUUUGUCAGCCUCACAGGUCUCCGUGAAGAACUAUCUCUGCAGCUCACAGCCCCCUCCUCUCUCCCAGCCCUCAGGGGUUGGAGACCACCUGAAGAGCUUCAAACUCAGUGGGAGCUGAAAGAGCAUCCAAAGAUGUAACUCUCCGUUCAUAAAGAGUUCAAAUGCAUCCAUGGAUCUCAGUUGUGUUUUUUACAGUAACUUAAAAAAAUGGGAGUUCUAAGACUCCCCAAUUUCCCUUUACCCCUGAGUCUUCCUUUUCCUCCCCUCUAAUUUUUUUUCCAAUUCUUUCUCCCCAAAUUUUGCCAGAAUUUCUGUAUCUAUAGACAUUCUGCAAAAUGGACCCAGAUUUUGUUUCCAGCCUGGUAGUUCAUGUUGCUCUGAAGGUUGUGCAAGGAGCCCACUUCUCUUUCCUUGCCUGGGCACCACACAGCUGCAGACAGGGUGCUUGGGUAAUGACAGGGUCCUUCUGCAAACAACCGGCUGUGAAGUGACACAUUCCUGUCAGCGGAAAACUCUGCAGAUGUUCUUUAAUCUCGCAACAGAGCAAGCGUUUCUGUGCCACCCUAGCAGGGAAACCGUCUUUGUUAUAGCACAGCUGGGCAACUUUGUUCUUUUCCAGAAAAUGCUACAGCACAACUUUGUGUGCCGUGGGGAGCUGCACCAGGCGGACAAACCUGCUGACUGAGACACCACUGGACACAGAUUUAUUCCUGAAGAAAAGGUUGAACAAGAUCAAAUCAUCAUGGCAGCAGAGAGGUAUCUAAGGCUCCAGGGAACACGAACAAGCUGCAGGGUAAAGCCAGUCACUGUCAGCAGCUGAGCGGGUAAUUCACAGCAAACCACAGCUUUGAUUAAGUGCACCCUUUUCCCAGCUGCAGAGAAAUUGUUAAAGCUCUUGGAAGUUCCCUACUUGCUUCUAGUAAUUACAAACGGAGACUUUUAUGCAGAAGACCAGUGAAAGAACUGUGCAUCUGUGAAAUGCCCUGAAGCCCUGGAAACAGAGGAUGUCACAGCAUUCAAGGUACUUCAGAGACUUUGAGGACCUUGUCACUGCAUGAAUUCCACCUACUUUUGAAGUCUUGCCUUUUGCAGUAAAGAGAAUAAGGCAGAACUAUCCUUAUCUCCUGUCUCUAAAGGCCUGGCAAAAGGAAAGCAUCAUGCAGAGUACACGAGCAAGAGUCUGGGCGACACAAAUUGUGUCAUUGCUCUCUGCAUAAAGAUCUGUGCUUGUCCCUUGCAUGCAUGGAUCAUGUAGGGACAUUGAGAUACCCAAAGAGAGUCCCUAGCUACAGCAGAGCCAAUGUCUCAGUGUCAGUGGUGUCCACAUUCCCUGAUCACCUAGCUGUUCCUACACCUUGGCUUCCAGUCUGGUUGUACUCCAGGACCAGCAAACUUCAGGCACUGCAAGAACAGCUCACACAUGGGUAUGGAUUCAGCUCAAGACAGUCAGGGAGCCCACAUCACCAUAGUAACUGCACGCUGUUGCCUUAAUUUCAGCAAAUAAAUGAAGCUUCUAAGUCAAGGGGUAUUUAUGCAGAGCAGUGCAAGAGCACGCAAAGAAACUGCAACAGUCCUAAAUGCGGCACCAGGCUUUCCUGGCUUCUUCAUCCUGCUUUUCAGACGGACUGAUUGGUUGGAAGGUUCCAUCAAUAUGAUUAGCUUGCUUUCUGUAUUUGACGUGGUGUUUCUAGACAUGACUUGGGUAUUUCUACAGAGCACAACACUCAGCCAUGUAGGACCAACCAGAAGUAUGAGAAAGCUUCUACAGUAAUGUAUACAUUCUCAAAAACUGAGGUUGCUAUAGAAAAAAUUAGCAGGUUUGAGUACUCCCCUUCUGACUGGUGAUGUUUGUUUAGGAGCUUUUACAUAUUGAUAAAGAUGGGAUGAAUUGUUCUUUAUGAGAAAAGGCUGGCUGGGAUGCUCAUUUUGUUGCCCAAAGCCCACCCACUUUUUUUUAAUAAUUGAAACAAAAAAAUAUUCACAAGUGGCAAACACAGGUACAAAAUUCUGGUUCACUCAAGCUGACUUAAAGGCUGGGAGGGAGUGGUUGAGUAUGCAGCUUGUUGACCACACUGCCUAAACUGCUCUGUGUCUGCCGGGUGCUGACUUCCCCUUUAGUCUCAUGUUUGGGGAAGUGUUAUAAAAAAGAAGAAUCUUUCUAAUCCAGGAACUCUGGAGCCAGAAGGAAGAAAAACAUUUUUACUGGAUCUGUCUGAGAUUGAGUUCAUUUUCCCAUGGCAUCCCUCACAGUGCUCUGCUGGGCAUUGAUGGCUGGAAAGGUGUUGGAAGCACAGCAGUGUUUGACUCCUGCAGAGCAGAGUUGGCCCAGC